UGUGAUUAUAUGGUUGAAAUGAGUAUGUAGAAAAAUGAGUUUCCAAAUAAUGGAUGUCGAACAGGGGAUUAGUAACAUGCCACGAAUGGAUAUCUGAUUUAUGGAACUCGUUACUUCUCCAACGGAAGCUUGCAGAUCCCCUAAAAUCGGAAAAUGGACAUGAUAGGAGUAAGUCAAUAGGAAAUCUAGCUUAUAGGGAUGGCUGGGGGUGCGGGAGGCGGAGUCUGGCACUGUAGUUGCACUGAACCAAAAUUUUUAUGUCAACGGAACAUAUAAGGAGAUGAACCGUGCUAGAGGCAGGGACCCACCUAUGGGGGCGCCACAUCAGCCCUCUAGACGGACAGGGGCGAUGUGGCUCUGAUCAAAUAGCUUUACACAUAAGGAGAUAUCUACGGAAUUUGGGUGGUCUAUUACCCCUGCUGACCCUUCUUUCUCUGUGCUCCUUAACGGAAGUAUUCUUCAUUGCUAAAUAAUUUAUGGCUUGUUUGACGGAUGGCACAGUACUUGUUUGGCAGAUUUUACAGUAUUGUCUAUUGUAUAUUUUACUGCAAGAAAACAUGCCCUCGGACAUUAUGCUAUUUUUGCAAAUAUUUUGGUUUAUGAAAUCCAUUAUGAGACAACAAAUGAUUUUCCUAUUUCUGCUUCUAUGAACUUCUGAGAGUCCCGUAUCUGUGUUCCUACCCAGCACGUUUUAGCCAGAGAUUGUGAUGUUGAGCUCAUUCACCUACUAAUUUGGGGUGUGCAGAGAUUGUAAUGUUUGAGCUCAUUCACCUGCUAAUUUGGAGGAGUGUGUGAGACUUUAUUUCUUGGGGAAUCUUGAGGAUACAAAACCAUUCGUUGUAAUUCUUUAAACUGAUGAAUUUGUGCUAAUGCACAUAUUUGGAUUUUCAUUCUGCAGUGGUUAAUGAGGCGUAUCCUCAUUUAACUCCAUAUGCUGCUCUCUACUUAGCCCAAAAACUUAUUAUUCUGUGCAAAAGUCUAUUUGCAAAAGUGCACUGUUAAUUCCAGCUUUGAGAUGAA
rnacentral:lncRNA from 1 species